GCGGGUGUAGCUCAGCUGGUUAGAGCGUCAGUUUUCCAAACUGAAGGUCGUGGGUUCGAAACCCAUCACCCGCU
rnacentral:tRNA from 1 species